GCAGCCAUCAUCACUAUAAACACUAUAAGGGAGAUUGGGUGCCACAGAAGGCUCAAGAACAAGAUUAUCAGUAUUAUUAUGGCGUAGUUCAUGCCAAAGUAAGCGGCGUUAGUCUUCAGUCGGACCAGAGCUUCUGCUAGAUUGGUAGGGAGCUUAAAAGAAUGGAAAUUGAACAUUAUUUUCCAUGGUCUGCGAGUGCCUAACCCUUCUUUGAUCCUUUCUUUAGCUCGAGAUAUGUACUCGAUGUUGGUGGUGGCUCCCGGCGACGAUGCGGUUGGGAUCGUGCCAUAUGUGGUCAUUUUCCGGUUAGGUUCCGGAGGAGUUUUUGGCCGGGUAGAGAAGUUUGACCUUUUGGUGAUUGUGUCAAAGAGAGAACGAGGGAAGGUGUG
rnacentral:misc_RNA from 1 species